rnacentral:rRNA from 1 species
GUUGAACGCUGGCGGCAGGCUUAACACAUGCAAGUCGAGCGGAGUGAUGGUGCUUGCACUAUCACUUAGCGGCGGACGGGUGAGUAAUGCUUAGGAAUCUGCCUAUUAGUGGGGACAACAUCUCGAAAGGGAUGCUAAUACCGCAUACGUCCUACGGGAGAAAGCAGGGGAUCACUUGUGACCUUGCGCUAAUAGAUGAGCCUAAGUCGGAUUAGCUAGUUGGUGGGGUAAAGGCCUACCAAGGCGACGAUCUGUAGCGGGUCUGAGAGGAUGAUCCGCCACACUGGGACUGAGACACGGCCCAGACUCCUACGGGAGGCAGCAGUGGGGAAUAUUGGACAAUGGGGGGAACCCUGAUCCAGCCAUGCCGCGUGUGUGAAGAAGGCCUUAUGGUUGUAAAGCACUUUAAGCGAGGAGGAGGCUCUUUUGGUUAAUACCCAAGAUGAGUGGACGUUACUCGCAGAAUAAGCACCGGCUAACUCUGUGCCAGCCGCCGCGGUAA